CAGCCGCCGCGGUAAUACCGGCGGCCCGAGUGGCGGUCACUAUUAUUGGGCUUAAAGCGUCCGUAGCCGGGUUGGGAAGUCCUCCGGGAAAUCUGGCCGCUUAACGGUCAGAAUGCCGGAGGAUACUCCCAGCCUAGGGAGCGGGAGAGGCCGAGGGGAUUCCCGGAGGAGGGGGGAAAUCCUAUAAUCCCGGGAGGACCACCUGUGGCGAAGGCGCUCGGCUGGAACGCGUCCGACGGUGAGGGACGAAGGCCAGGGGAGCAGACCGGAUUAGAUGCCCGGGUAGUCCUGGCUGUAAACGAUGCGGACUUUGUGUCGGACAAGCUAUGAGCUUGUCCGGUGCCGGAGGGAAACCGUUAAGUCCGCCGCCUGGGGAGUACGGCCGCAAGGCUGAAACUUAAAGGAAUUGGCGGG
rnacentral:rRNA from 1 species